GCUGCUAGACAUCCUGUGUUUUCAGCAUCGUCACGUUACGAGACACGGUCCGUGAUGACGCAGACAACAGGCUUCGGCAGAAACGCAGGUACACAAGCAUGUAUACCAUCGAGGAACAAGAAAGUGCAGACGGAGCUUUCUGGAAUUAUGCCGCAGACCUCUUCCUCGUCAAACUGUGGUGAUCCAGAACAGAGUUCUGAUUCAGAAGACCUGGGUGUAUCAGGGAAGCAGCCACUGGAAAGAGAUGACCC